CUUGGCAGCAUGGCCAGAUUCAUUGCGAGCGCAGCCCACCCAGAAAAAGCAUAGCCGAUAGGUGGCCGACUCAUGCCAAUUUAUUCUGAGAGCAGCCUUCUUUCGUGUUAUGACCCUUGCUGAGGGUUAUUUGGUCAGGCUUCCAAUUAUGUCACAAUGUACUUGGCACUCUGGAGGCGCCAUCUGUGUUCACUUUUCAAGUGAAUAGUUAUCGGCAUAUCAGGUCCUUUAGGUGAUGCAGAAGGACUCAGACACAUCGGCAUUAUUCGGAGGGAGUCACAACAGUACCAUCCCAGGUGGAGGGCCAAACUCGAACCGGGUUAGUUUGGAGAAAGGGCAGGAGUCUUUCUGGUGAAUGAACUUGUGGCUCCCCAUCAUUCUUCGGUGACUUCUCUACAGCGUCGGCUCCUUCUAGAAUGGAUUUCUGGCCAACGAACUGACGUCAGGUGGCUUGCUUGCUGAUAUGGGAAGCAACACCAAUCUGAUUCCCGAUAGAAGAAGUCCAUCUGUGAUGUCAAAUCCAACUGAUUAUCAGAUCAUCAAUCAAAUUCGCAGAUCUGUUAUUUUCCUAUUCAGAUUCCCUGCCUACUCCUAACGAUCGGAAGGCUCGUUGAGCACGACGAUCACAGACGAAGACAAUGUCAGAUACGAGCUUAAUUUUGGUUCUGCUGCCGAUUUUCUCGCAAGGUCCCUAUGUGAAUCUUGAUUGUCCUGAUUCCGAUACUAGGCAUAGUUUCCAUCGGGACAUCCUAUUGAGUUUAGGUGUUUCAUUGAGAACUUUUGUGAACGUUGGUGUUAUUAUCUAGAGGGUUGUAAUCAACAUUGAUUCCUACUUAAUUGCAUUCUUAUUCUUGAAUAUUCGUCAUUUUUCUAGCGCCAGGCCUGUCGAAAUUCUGUUAUGUUGGCCC